rnacentral:rRNA from 1 species
UACGUAGGGACCGAGCGUUGUCCGGAAUCAUUGGGCGUAAAGAGCGUGUAGGCGGCUUGCUAAGUCUUGCGUGAAAUCUCGGGGCUCAACCCCGAGCGGUCGUGGGAAACUGGCAGGCUAGAGUGCGGGAGAGGAGAAUGGAAUUCCUGGUGUAGCGGUGAAAUGCGCAGAUAUCAGGAAGAACACCCGUGGCGAAGGCGGUUCUCCGGAACGCAACUGACGCUGAGACGCGAAAGCGUGGGGAGCAAACAGG